rnacentral:sRNA from 1 species
UGGUUUUGGUCCGCGUCGCUCAAUCUC